GCGGAGGAAAAGAAAAUAACAAUGAUUUCCCUAGUAACGGCGAGUGAACAGGAAAGAGCUCAAAGUUGGAACCUGUUUGGUUUAGCCAAACCGGAUUGUAAACUGUAGAAGUGUUUUCCUGACACGCCUGACGAAAAAGUCCAUUGGAACAUGGUGACAUAGAGGGUGAGAGCCCCGUAUUUUGUCAGAGCUGUUGUCUCUUGUGAUACACUUUCAAAGAGUCAGGUUGUUUGGGAAUGCAGCCUAAAUUGGGUGGUAAAUCUCACCUAAAGCUAAAUAUUGGCAAAAGACCGAUAGCGAACAAGUACCGUGAGGGAAAGAUGAAAAGAACUUUGAAAAGAGAGUUAAACAGUAUGUGAAAUUGUUAAAAGGGAACCGUUUGGAGCCAGACUGGCUUGAUUGUAAUCAAUCUAGAUCUCGAUCUGGAUGCACUUGCAGUCUAUGCCUGCCAACGACAAUUCAUUCUGGAGGAAAAAACUAAGUGGAAUGUGGCCCCUCGGGGUGUUAUAGACUCUUAGAAAAUACUCUGGUUUGGAUUGAGGAACGCAGUGAAUGCUAUUUGGCGAAGAUGCUGGGUGCUUUUAUUUUUGUUGUCUAGAAUUUCUGCUUCGGGUGGUGCUAGAUACCACGAGUAAAACUCGCCUAGUAUACUUUUUAUUCACUUAGGUUGUUGGCUUAAUGACUCUAAAUGAC
rnacentral:rRNA from 1 species